rnacentral:piRNA from 1 species
UUAAAGCAGAUGCCCACUGAA